GGUGGGUGACUGUGAAGAAAAUGCUUUUGUCUUAGAAGAAAGAAGUGAAGGUGAUGAUGUUGUUGAAGGUGAAAUUGAAACACAUGUUGAGGUGGCUGAAUGUGAAGGAGAUGUUGGUGAUACACAAGAUAUGAGUGAUUAUUGUUGAUAAGGGGAGCAAUAUGAGUGUUGAAUGUGACACCUGGGCACUGACGAGGGCGGGGGUGAUCG
rnacentral:lncRNA from 1 species